UAAAAAUUCAAUCAUCCACAUUAAUAAAAAAAAAACCAUCAUACGCGUUGAAUAACACCCAAAUUGAUGUACUUGUAUACCCAAGUAACUAAUUUAUGAUACCAAUCCCCAAAACUUACAAAAUUUAUAUACAAUCCUCAAAAUAUAUGCCUGA